UCCGGUUUUUUCCUCAGGCUUCCGGUCUGUUUGGUGCCCUGGUCGCGUGUCUUCCGAACUCUGCUGCUUCGCCCCGGCAAGAGCACUUCCUUCCGCGGCUGCUAAAACUGGUGCGCGGGUUCCCAACUUCGCAGAAGAGCUUCAUCGGCCCCCCGCUAGAGACCUCAGACCGCAGCCAUCGACGCCUCGCCUCGGGGAUCUGUCCCCACCCUCGGGGCCAGCCCUAGCGUAGCAGGUGCUCCCUGCAGUUUUUGCUUCUGAGAUAGAGUUCUCUUUUCAGCUCCUUCGGUAGUCACUUCGUACAUAGUGAUUCAUGAUGCGAAAUCCUCUCUGUUGAAAUAACUGACGAGGCCUCUGUCUUCUGACUGGACCCUGACUUCCAUGCCCUUUCCACUCUCACUCCAGUACAUGCCCAAACCCCAAUCUUUGUUGCUCCAGGCAUUGCCUCUGUGGCGCUGUGUCCCCUCCUUUGAACUCUGAUCCUUCUGCUCAGGCCCUUUCUCCCAGUCUGAAGUAACUCACCAUGAGUCAGGCCCUGUGCUAGGUGCUGGGAUGAAGCAGUGACUGACACAGGCCUGGACCUGUCCUUGGGAAGAGUGCGUCUGUGACACAGAUACUGUGCCAUGUGGCAAAACUUGAAUGGAGACAUCAGCUCUUUGUGGGUCUCAAGUCUACUGGCUUUCAAUCAGCUCUUCUGCUUGACAGCUGCAGGUCUUGGGACUGCCCAGCCCCCAUAACCCUGUGAGUGCAUUCCUGAUAAUAACCCUCUUUCUCUUGUCCUCCCCCACCCCACAUCAUUGGUUCUGUUUCUCUGGAGAACCAUAAUACAUCAUUUACUAAUCAGGAAAUAGAUUCAGAGACAUUAAUAACUCAUCCAACCUCACAGUUAACUGUAGAGUUGGGCUUGAAAUUCCAAGGUCGAUUUUCUUAGCCAAUACACCAUGCUACAUAUAUGUAUGUAAAAAUAAAAACGCUUGUGAACUGAAAAGGGUCCAAACUUAAGCUCAUUUUGGUCCUUAAUUGCUAAUCCAUAGGCAUGUUUUGGUCCUUAAUUGCUAAUCCAUAAGCAUGUUUCGGUCCUUAUUUGCUAAUCCAUAGGCCUGCACACCUGCCCCCAAGGCCAUGG
rnacentral:lncRNA from 1 species